rfam:Zootermopsis nevadensis contig28063, whole genome shotgun sequence.
GCCACGGUGGUCUAGCGGUUUGAACGCUGGCCUUGUAAUCCUGGGGUCUCGGGUUCGAUUCCCGGCGGUGCCC